rnacentral:rRNA from 1 species
GAUGAACGCUGGCGGCAUGCCUAACACAUGCAAGUCGAUCGGUAAGGCUCUUCGGAGUACACGAGAGGCGGACGGCUGAGUAACGCGUAGGAACACACCCUGCAGUGAGGGAUAAGACGCCGAAAGGUGUUCUAAUACCGCAUACGGUCUUCGGAUUAAAGCAUUUAUGCGCUGAAGGAGUGGCCUGCGUCAUAUUAGAUAGUUGGUGAGGUAAUGGCUCACCAAGUCGAUGAUGUGUAGCUGGUCUGAGAGGAUGAUCAGCCAGACUGGAACUGAGACACGGUCCAGACUCCUACGGGAGGCAGCAGUGAGGAAUAUUUCACAAUGAGCGAAAGCUUGAUGGAGCAAUGCCGCGUGCAGGAUGAAGGCCCUCGGGUUGUAAACUGCUUUUAUAAGAGAAGAUUAUGACGGUAACUUAUGAAUAAGGGACGGCUAACUACGUG